UGAGGAAUAUUGGUCAAUGGGUGCAAGCCUGAACCAGCCAUCCCGCGUGAAGGACGACUGCCCUAUGGGUUGUAAACUUCUUUUGUAUAGGGAUAAACCUACCCUCGUGAGGGUAGCUGAAGGUACUAUACGAAUAAGCACCGGCUAACUCCGUGCCAGCAGCCGCGGUAAUACGGAGGGUGCAAGCGUUAUCCGGAUUUAUUGGGUUUAAAGGGUCCGUAGGCGGACUUAUAAGUCAGUGGUGAAAGCCUGUCGCUUAACGAUAGAACUGCCAUCGAUACUGUAAGUCUUGAGUAUAUCUGAGGUAGCUGGAAUAAGUAGUGUAGCGGUGAAAUGCAUAGAUAUUACUUAGAACACCAAUUGCGAAGGCAGGUUACCAAGAUAUAACUGACGCUGAGGGACGAAAGCGUGGGGAGCGAACA
rnacentral:rRNA from 1 species